UGCCAGCAGCCGCGGUAAUACGUACUGUGCAAACGUUAUUCGGAAUCACUGGGCUUAAAGGGUGCGUAGGCGGCCAAUUAAGUAGGGUGUGAAAGCCCACGGCUCAACCGUGGAAUUGCGCUCUAAACUGUUUGGCUUGAGUGAGAUAGGGGUGUGUGGAACUUCCAGUGGAGCGGUGAAAUGUGUUGAUAUUGGAAGGAACGCCGGUAGCGAAAGCGACACACUGGGUCUCAACUGACGCUGAGGCACGAAAGCUAGGGUAGCGAACGGGAUUAGAUA
rnacentral:rRNA from 1 species